GUUAAAAGUUAAAUAAUAUUGUUUAUCAUUAGACGAAGAUAUCAAUCAAAUGCAAGAAAUACACGCGGAACAUUAUAGUAAUUAUAGUAAUGAGAAUUCUGUUUUAAAAGAUUCGAAAAUAAAAUAUGAACCUAGAUUAGAUAAACACAUUAUUUCAUGUCAACAAUGAUAAGAUUUUGGGAAACAUAGCCAUAUGAGUGCAUUGUACUCGUAAAGUAUGUGCGUAACAUUUAAUAAACCGCGCCGAUUUGAACAAAGUGACAACAUUUGUAGACUGAUUGCUUUAUUGAUGCGUCGCGAUUGGCCAAUUGUUGACGGACGUGAAUCUCACGUAAGUGUUUUUCGGCAGCACGUAGUUGAUCGCGCAAUAACCGGUGCUAUUGUCGAUCUAGGCUGACGAUCUUUUCAACGCAUUUUACUUUCUUUCUUCUUCUAUUUCAAGGCAAAGAAGGCUCGGCUGGUCCGACCCGUGACGACCAAUCACCGAGUUCCUCCUCGCGCGAAAACAUCGCGUGGUUUCUCUACCUCGCACGCACACAAUUAUCGUCGAGUGCGUGCUUAAUGUACAGAGUGACGUAAGCGUUCGUGAUCAUGUACAACUUUAUGUUGAUCUUAUAUAAAUAAUAUUGAAUUUAAAAAUACGAAUAUAAAUACAAUUUAAGUUUUAUUUUACUGCAAAAGAGUGGGUAAAGAAGGGAGAGAGAAGGGGAGAGAAAGAGAAAGGGAGAGAUUGCUGAGAAAUGCGCGUCACGAGAAAUUGGUAUCAUUAUGUUGCAAUAUAAUGAUUAUUUAAGGAUAAUUACUAAUAUUACUUGAGGAUAUUUAAUAUUAAGUAAUAUUCAAGGAUAUUUAAGUAAAAAGAGAUUUCAUGAUAAGUGAUUUUAUCGCACUUGGUUUUCCCCGCUCCUCUGUUGCAAAUCAAAAACAUCUACGAAGCAUGCGUCUUUUUCAGACACCCUGUACGGCGAACAUAUAUUGUCAGACAGUUUCCGUCACGACGAUAAACUGCGGACCACGCUCGCUUACGGUUCAGUUUGUUUCACCGCUCGUAAACGUUGGGUGUAUUCACACGUUUCUCCAGUUGUAUGAACGCCAGUCACACACAUACGCUCCGUUACAUAUUGCGUCCGCGGUGCCAGGUCCAUGGCCAAACGAAUUCACCUGGAUGAAGGCCAGCCGUCUACCUCGCCCGGAUAUUCUACUUUUGUGUCGUUGAAUGUCGGUCACGCGAAGUCAUUUCGAUCUCAAAACAGCAGGUCACGAGACUCGCUGUUUUCUCUCGUUUCCGCGAUAGUAUGCCGUGAGAUCAUCAACAAUGCGCGAUGUUAUGACUAUGAUGAGAAUGGUUUCAGAAUACAUGAAAAUAAAGUGAAAUUAAUAAGUGAGAUGAAUCAAAGUAAACCAUGCGCGAAAACUUGAGCAAUUAUAUUACACUUAUAUUCAGAAUUGAGAAAAAUAUUGGUAAAAGAGCACUUUAUAUUUAAAUAUAGAAAAUAAAAAUCAGCUGUUUUAGACUUUAUCACUUUUUAAAGAAAUAAAACAAUCAACCGUACACUUGGUAGAUAGCUAACGGAGAUCCAAACACGACUAAUGAGAUUUUUGCAAUUUUAAUAUUAAAAAGUUAUUAUCAUCAUGAUUGCGAUUUGAGAAGUUGAUUUCUUAGGAAUUUAUUGCGUACGCAAGUUAUUAUUAUCUUCAGAAUUUUCGCAAAACUCGAUUUUAAAGGCAAUCUAAUCGUUAUUAUAUGACGUUUAUUACAGAUUUAUAAAAUCGUACACAGAGGAAUCACAAAUUCAAAUGUUAUUUUACGAUGGAGCUACUUUCGCUGCAACAGCUCGUUCUUCGUUUCUCUCAUGUGGACGUGUGUGGACUGCGUACGCAUUAUGUAAAUGUACGUCGAACCAAAUUAUGUAAUGCACGUGUUACGAAUAAAGUAUCGAGACACUGUUGACUAAAUCAUCAGACAUUGCUCGAAUCCGCUGCUGGUGAUAAUCUCCGCGCAAAUGAUAACAAUACGAAUUAUCGAUGAUUAGUCACGAGAAAUACCGGCGACACGGUUAAUUACUGAUGCGUGUUUGCCGAAUGAUCGUACGGGGCAAUGGUCAAAUGAAUUAAUUUCAUACUCUCGACAAAGACAUUUUAAUUGUAGUCAUUAUUUGCAAUGUACUGUGGAUCAUGAUUUUCGUUUCUUCGUUUAAUGAAUACUAACAUUGAUACACAGGUACAUAAUUCUACCGAGUUUUGGGAAGACACGGGUUUGAGAGUUAAAGUCCGCAAAAAGAAGAUUAUGUAGUAGUUUAAUAAAAUCAUUGCUUCGUUAAAUAAAAUAAGGUUUCGUAAGUUGUAUUUGCAUCAGUAAGACGAAAGACUUAUUGACACGAAUCGCUUCGUUAUAUUUGUUUUUCACGUUACUAUAAAAGUGUGACUUUUAUUAACAUUGAACGUUGAGAAUGUACAUUAAAAAUAAAAAUUAUAUAUAU
rnacentral:lncRNA from 1 species